CAGAACGUCACAGACAAACAUGUCGAUCGUAAUUCCAAUCGAUCAACAAACUUCGCAUUUAGGGCACCACAAGUGAGUUUCACCAUCCACGAUUUCGAAUUGGGAAAGAUCUAUGGUUAUGGUUCGUAUUCGAAGGUAGUGAGAGCACGAAAGAAAGAAAGACACAGGAAAACUUUACGCCUUGAAGAUCAUGGAUAAAAAGUUCAUCAAAAAGGAAAACAAAGCUGCGUAUGUGAAGUUAUGUCAUUUGAGGAUCGGAAAGAGAGAGCAUUCCAAUGGAAGAAGGCAAUUGAGAAGCUUCAAAUCCAGUGAUUUCUAAUUAUUAUUUUUAGAAUUUUUUUUAUACAUUCUUUUCAUUACUGUAGAUUAAAUAUUAAUAGAGUAUAAUUUAUUUUCACAACCAAUAUUUAAA